rnacentral:rRNA from 1 species
UCAGGAAAAGAAUUUAGUCCAACCUAAAGUAAUAUUAACUUACCUAUUUCCCAACUCCACUUUAGAGCAAUUCAAAUGAGGUCCAGCCCAUUUGAUACAGGAUCCAACCUUCACUAACGGGUAAUUUCCCCCCCGCGUCUAAAGUAGGCCUAAAAGCAGCCAUCUUUUAAAAAGCGUCUAAGCUUAACUACGCACACCUUAAUUCAUCGACCCACUCCGACCCCUUUAACAAUACUGAGAACCUCUAUAAUCCUAUAGAACAUUUUAUGCUAAAACUAGUAACAAGAGACUGUUCUCUCCUCAAUGCAAACAUAACCCAGCAAGAACCCAUCACCGGCAAUUAACAGGAUAAAAUACUUGUAACAACUCUUCCCCGAAAACCUUACUACUAACACUGUUAACCUAACACCAGAGCAUUUCAAGAAAGAUUAAAAGAAGGGGAAGGAACUCGGCAAAUAUUAGCCUCGCCUGUUUACCAAAAACAUCGCCUCUCGACUUCAUGAGAGGUCCAGCCUGCCCAGUGACUCUGUUCAACGGCCGCGGUAUACUAACCGUGCGAAGGUAGCGUAAUCACUUGUUUUUUAAAUAAGGACUAGUAUGAAAGGCAUCACGAGGGCUAAACUGUCUCCCCCCUCUAAUCAGUGAACCUAAUCUCCCCGUGAAGAAGCGGGGAUUCCCCUAUAAGACGAGAAGACCCUAUGGAGCUUUAAACACGUAACACUGCCUUAACCACUAACUACCCUGGUACACCCCCCCCCGGCACACUGAUUACAAGUUUUUGGUUGGGGUGACCGCGGAGAAAAACCCAUCCUCCACAAUGAAAGGGGCUCCCCCUAAACAAUGAGUCACAACUUUAAGUAUCAACAACUUGACAUCCAUUGACCCAACAAUUGAUCAACGAACCAAGUUACCCUAGGGAUAACAGCGCAAUCCACUUUGAGAGCUCCUAUCGACAAGUGGGCUUACGACCUCGAUGUUGGAUCGGGAUAACCUAGUGGUGCAACCGCUACUAAAGGUUCGUUUGUUCAACGAUUAAAACCCCACGUGAUCUGAGUUCAGACCGGAGCAAUCCAGGUCGGUUUCUAUCUAUAAAGAGCUUUUUUCAGUACGAAAGGACCAAAACAGCAUGGUCAAUACCCACGCAAACCAUCGCAAUUACUUUUUGAACCCAACUCAAAAAAUUAAUGCCUCCCCCCUCCCC